rnacentral:rRNA from 1 species
UACAGGGGGCUCGAGCGUUAGUCGGAAUCACUGGGCUUAAAGGGUGCGUAGCGGUCCGCCAAGUGCUUUGUGAAAUCCCACAGCUCAACUGUGGAACAGCAGGGCAAACUGGAGGACUUGAGGCAGGUAGGGGCCGGAAGAACAGUUGGUGGAGCGGUGAAAUGCGUAGAUAUCAACUGGAAUGCCGAUGGGGAAGCCGUCCGGCUGGGCCUGUCCUGACGCUGAGGCACGAAAGCGUGGGGAGCAAACAGG